rnacentral:sRNA from 1 species
CCAAAACAGUCUACACAGCAGGAGGGAUGGCCGGGGCUCUUGAGCUAUAAGUGGCACCUCAGGGCCCUGACGGGCGUCUCGCCAUGCUGCUCCUGGGCCUGCUGCUGCUGCUGCCCCUGCUGGCUGGCGCCCGCCUGCUGUGGAACUGGUGGAAGCUCCGGAGCCUCCACCUCCCGCCUCUUGCCCCGGGCUUCUUGCACCUGCUGCAGCCUGACCUCCCCAUCUAUCUGCUUGGCCUGACUCAGAAAUUCGGGCCCAUCUACAGGCUCCACCUUGGGCUGCAAGGUGAGAGGCUGAUCUCGCUCUGGCCCUCACCAUAGGAGGGGGCGGAGGUGACGGAGAGGGUCCUCUCUCCGCUGACGCUGCUUUGGCUGUCUCCCAGAUGUGGUGGUGCUGAACUCCAAGAGGACCAUUGAGGAAGCCAUGGUCAAAAAGUGGGCAGACUUUGCUGGCAGACCUGAGCCACUUACCUACAAGCUGGUGUCUAAGAACUACCCGGACCUGUCCUUGGGAGACUACUCCCUGCUCUGGAAAGCCCACAAGAAGCUCACCCGCUCAGCCCUGCUGCUGGGCAUCCGUGACUCCAUGGAGCCAGUGGUGGAGCAGCUGACCCAGGAGUUCUGCGAGCGCAUGAGAGCCCAGCCCGGCACCCCUGUGGCCAUUGAGGAGGAAUUCUCUCUCCUUACCUGCAGCAUCAUCUGUUACCUCACCUUCGGAGACAAGAUCAAGGAGGACAACUUAAUGCCUGCCUAUUACAAAUGUAUCCAGGAGGUGUUAAAAACCUGGAGCCACUGGUCCAUCCAAAUUGUGGACGUGAUUCCCUUUCUCAGGUUCUUCCCCAAUCCAGGUCUCCGGAGGCUGAAGCAGGCCAUAGAGAAGAGGGACCACAUCGUGGAGAAGCAGCUGAGGCAGCACAAGAUUCAGCAGCGACUGCAGGAGGAGCUAGACCACGAACUGGGCCCUGGUGCCUCCAGCUCCCGGGUCCCCUACAAGGACCGUGCACGGCUGCCCUUGCUCAAUGCCACCAUCGCCGAGGUGCUGCGCCUGCGGCCCGUUGUGCCCUUAGCCUUGCCCCACCGCACCACACGGCCCAGCAGCAUCUCCGGCUACGACAUCCCUGAGGGCACAGUCAUCAUUCCGAACCUCCAAGGCGCCCACCUGGAUGAGACGGUCUGGGAGAGGCCACAUGAGUUCUGGCCUGAUCGCUUCCUGGAGCCAGGCAAGAACUCCAGAGCUCUGGCCUUCGGCUGCGGUGCCCGCGUGUGCCUGGGCGAGCCGCUGGCGCGCCUGGAGCUCUUCGUGGUGCUGACCCGACUGCUGCAGGCCUUCACGCUGCUGCCCUCCGGGGACGCCCUGCCCUCCCUGCAGCCCCUGCCCCACUGCAGUGUCAUCCUCAAGAUGCAGCCUUUCCAAGUGCGGCUGCAGCCCCGGGGGAUGGGGGCCCACAGCCCGGGCCAGAGCCAGUGAUGGGGCAGGACCGAUGCCAGCCGGGUACCUCAGUUUCUCCUUUAUUGCUCCCAUAUGAACCCCUCCCCUCCCCCCUGUAAACACAGUGCUGCGAGAUCGCUGGCAGAGAAGGCUUCCUCCAGCGGCUGGGUGGUGAAGGACCCUGGCUCUUCUCUCAGGGCGACCCCUCAGUGCUCGGCAGUCAUACUGGGGUGCGAGAGAGGUGGGCAGCAGCUCAGCCUCCCCCCGCUGGGGAGCGAAAGUUUCUUGGUCUCAGCUUCAUUUCCGUGAAGGGCACCGAGAACUCGAAGCCCUUCCAGUGGUACCAGCUCACUCCCUGGGAAAGGGGUUGUCAAGAGAGAGUCAAAGCCGGAUGUCCCAUCUGCUCCUCCCGUUCCCCUUAAGGAGGUGGCUCCCAGCACUCAACCAACCUCCCCGCAGAGCUCCCCUCCUGACCCUCCACUGCAGAGGAUUGAGGCUUAAUCCUGAGCUGGUCCUUUCCAGCCAAUAAAUCAACUCCAGCUCCCUC